AAAAACUGAACCGACUGCAGUACUGUGAACCCCAACUAUUCUCAAGUUGCUAACAACGGGGAUCACUGGAAUGCUUGCAAGCUUGGGGCAAUUUUUGAUCUCUAGCUCUUCAAGCACCGGGAAUGUUAGCAGGUUAUCCAUCUUCUCCAAGCACAAAAUCUCCAGAGAGACCGAUGACCAUACGACAGGCUUUGUAAUUCAAUCAACCUCAUCUUCUUCAACCUUGGGAAAAUUUGCAGAGGGCUAAAAACAGAAGAUGAACAACCGAUGAAGAGCAAAACAGGGCAAGGAUUGAGGAGAGGAUUCACCUUAACAACACCCAAAUUCGAUCUUUGGUGAAAGAGCAACGAUACUGCUGCUCGUUCGUCGCCAGCCCUGUGCAGAUCUCUCACGCUUCAGGGCUGCUUGGUUUGAUAAUGGGAGGUUGCUGGAGAGAGGAUGCAAGCAAAUGGAGCUAGGAUGAAGGGAUCCAAGAUCUGAGAUGUAUAUUUACUGGUACCUACCGGUGGCCCCUCAAUUAUAUGGAGACAAUCAUGGUGUGCGUCCCCCUGUGGAGAGAACUACUGAUGCAUGUACCUACGGGACAAAUUGAAAACCAGAAAUCGCACAGCCAGGAAGGAAUUUUCUGUGUGGAAUGUAUCACCUAUGUUAUUGCAAGAGAAAUUCUAAAGAGGCGCUCCUGCAUUAAUUCUUUUCAUGACACAGCAGCCCAAGUGAAAACUCUGUUGUCUACCUCCAGAGCUUACAUCACCAAACAAAUAUCGGUUUUAUCGACGGCUGCGGUUGAAGGAGAGUGGACGAUGGCAAAUGGAGAUAAGAUCAAGGAAUCCAAGAUUUGAGCUGUAUGUUCAGUUACUACAGAUGAUUCCAAUCAAAAAAUGUGGACAGCGCACCACUUUCCAACUUGUUGAUAGGACAAUAAUUGAAGAGAGAAGCAUGCCAUGCAUGCAUCUGCCGUGAAGACUUUUCUCAAUUGUGUCACUAAUGGUUCUGCAGGAAUAGGCAAGACACUGUUUUCGAGCUGGCACAUUACGUGUGGACCUGGUAAAGGGGUCAAAUCGAACAAGGAUAAAUUGGGGAGCCGGAUUGCCCAUGCGCUUAUCUAGUGAAGUUUUCCGGGCACCGAGAGCAGAUCGAAGAUUGAGAUGUGAUGGCUUGUUGUUGCUGGCUGGAUGGGUGCUCUGCUGCUGCUGCUGUUACCUAGCUGUUGCUGCCUGCUGAAUUGAUAAGCCAAGUUUAUCUGAACCUCGAGAGUAGGAUUUCCAGCGGAGAGCAGACUGAAGAUUGAUGUGCUUGUUUGGCUGUGCUUUGCAUUUUGUAAUUGGCCGAGUUCUAGUAGAGUAUUGUUGAUCUUUUUAUAUAUUGAAAUUAGGGGUAAAUAUCUCAUCCUCUGUUUCAGUCAAUUGCUGGAGAAUAUUGCUGUGACAUCAGCUGACUGGAAUUCUCCCUGUGCAAACAGCAUGCAGAUAUUAGUUAGCUGAAUUCUGUAACCUUUUUUUUCCUCCAAAAAAAAACUCUGUAACCUUAUUGAGGGUUUUAUAGGCAUUCCUCUGCAACUA